rnacentral:rRNA from 1 species
UGGGGAAUAUUGGACAAUGGGCGAAAGCCUGAUCCAGCCAUGCCGCGUGGAUGAUGAAGGCCCUAGGGUUGUAAAGUCCUUUCGACGGGGAAGAUAAUGACGGUACCCGUAGAAGAAGCCCCGGCUAACUUCGUGCCAGCAGCCGCGGUAAUACGAAGGGGGCUAGCGUUGCUCGGAAUCACUGGGCGUAAAGCGCACGUAGGCGGCUUGUUAAGUCGGGGGUGAAAUCCUGGAGCUCAACUCCAGAACUGCCCUCGAUACUGACGAGCUCGAGUCCGGGAGAGGUGAGUGGAACUGCGAGUGUAGAGGUGAAAUUCGUAGAUAUUCGCAAGAACACCAGUGGCGAAGGCGGCUCACUGGCCCGGUACUGACGCUGAGGUGCGAAAGCGUGGGGAGCAAACA